AGCAGCCGCGGUAAUUCCAGCUCCAAUAGCGUAUAUUAAAGUUGUUGCAGUUAAAAAGUUCGUAGUUGAAUUUCGGGAUUGACGUGAUGGUCGUGCCUUACGGGGUAUGAACUGUUGCAGUCAAUUUCUCACCUUCUGGAGAAAUAUGAUGUCCUUAAUUGGGUGUCAUAUGGAACCAGAACUUUUACCUUGAAAAAAUUAGAGUGUUUAAAGCAGGCUUAUUGCUCGAAUACAUUAGCAUGGAAUAAUAAAAUAGGACGGCAUGGUUCUAUUUUGUUGGUUUCUAGGAUCACCGUAAUGAUUAAUAGGGAUAGUUGGGGGCAUUAGUAUUCAAUUGUCAGAGGUGAAAUUCUUGGAUUUAUUGAAGACUAACUACUGCGAAAGCAUUUGCCAAGGAUGUUUUCAUUAAUCAAGAACGAAAGUUAGGGGAUCGAAGACGAUCAGAUACCGUCGUAGUCUUAACCAUAAACUAUGCCGACUAGGAAUCAGACGAUGUUAAUUUUUUU
rnacentral:misc_RNA from 1 species